GUCAAACAAGAUGGAUGCGAAACAACAAACUGCUCUCUGCUGCCUUUUCUUGGUGCUCAUGCUACAUGCAGAUCAUACCUUGGCAGCUGGUUCGUGUUCCUUAAUUACAUCUCUCUUCUGUUGUAUUCAGCUUAAUUAUUAGUUUGGCGAUAAUCUGGUCCAAGACAGAAUUACAUUUCCAUUCUUGUUCUUGCAUAGCUUGUGUACUUUCCUUCGAGAAAAAUGAUCUUCUAAUCUAUUUCCUUCGAAAAAAAAACUCAGAUUGUGUCAAUUUUUUCUUAGUUUCAUGUAAAUUUUCAUUCAAUAACGCAUGAUAUUAUAUAAGUUAAUAACAUGUGGGUGUACAUAUUUCAUCUUUUUUUUUUGUAGAAACUUGCGGCUCUACAUAUAUUAAGGUUCCAUUCUGCAAAAGUUGGUCAUGCAAGGCAGAGUGCUGGCUUGAGGCGAAAUUAACUUCCUCUACAGUCAAUGAGCACAAGUGUACGAAAGGAGGG
rnacentral:lncRNA from 1 species